ACGUAUCUCUGGCGGGUGCUGGCGUGCCCUGCUCCGGCCCAUAAAGCCGUGCAGCGGGUGCCCGGUCCUGUCCAACCUUCACAAACCCACGUGCACAUUCACGGUGGAUGGCCCCUUUUGGGGUCUGAAGCCGCUUCACUAAACACUUAUGAAAGAAUGCAAUGCGGCCUCUGUGUCGCCUAACAACAAAA
rnacentral:misc_RNA from 1 species